rnacentral:rRNA from 1 species
UACGUAGGGUGCGAGCGUUAAUCGGAAUUACUGGGCGUAAAGCGUGCGCAGGCGGUUUUGUAAGCCAGAUGUGAAAUCCCCGGGCUUAACCUGGGAAUGGCAUUUGGGACUGCAAGGCUUGAGUUUGGCAGAGGAGACUGGAAUUCCUGGUGUAGCGGUGAAAUGCGUAGAUAUCAGGAGGAAUACCGGUGGCGAAAGCGACUCUCUGGACGGCAACUGACGCUGAGGCACGAAAGCGUGGGGAGCAAACAGG